AUGCGCCACAAUCGGUAAAUCUGGCAAGACUCAAUACCAACUCGUUGAGAAGAUAUUGCAAGCACUUCAAACUCGGAGGCAUCAAUGCUUAUUCACCAAGGGAACAAAUUCUUAAUACUGUGCAGCAGCAUUUUGUGUCGCAGCGACCACUGAAUGAGGUACAAGUGAUUUCGGAAUUCAUCACCGCAGCAAAGAGACUGAAAACUGUUGAAAGUGACACAAAGGGUGAGCAACUAUGAAUGUUGUCAAGCAUUGUAUAAUUUAAAUACAUAUUUUAACUCUAACCUUAGAUCAGAAUCUAAUGAUCGGGAAGGGUUGUCGACCCCGACCGACCGGAUUUCUUCUCUUCCAAGGAUUCUAACUCUGUAAUAUAGGGCCUAUGCUCU